AAGGAGGCUUCCCAGGUCUCUGCUGCAGGCCAGCUCCCUGAUUAGCCUGCGGAGGCCUCCCUGCAUCUGUGGAAUCCCUCCGGGAGGGUUUUGCCUGGCACGACGGAGGGAGUCUCACAAACACAGCUGACCUGGCCUCCAGAAGCCAUCGUGCAGGACGUCUGAGUGACGCAGGAGGAGGCCGGGCUCCGUGGAGGAAGACGGAGUGGAGCUCCAGAAUCCCUCGCCUCCUGCUCCUGAGAACGUCUCUGAUGCAUUUCGGCAGUCGUCCAGGACAAUCCCCAUCUCGGCAGCAGUCGCUCCGUCUCAACCCGCCUGCAAAGUCGCCUUGGCUGCGUCA